UACGGGGGGGGUAAGCGUUGUUCGGAAUUACUGGGCGUAAAGCGCGUGUAGGCGGCCCGAUAAGUCCGCUGUGAAAGUCCAGGGCUCAACCCUGGGAUGCCGGUGGAUACUGUCGGGCUCGAGUCCGGAAGAGGCGAGUGGAAUUCCUGGUGUAGCGGUGAAAUGCGCAGAUAUCAGGAGGAACACCAAUGGCGAAGGCAGCUCGCUGGGACGUGACUGACGCUGAGACGCGAAAGCGUGGGGAGCAAACAGG
rnacentral:rRNA from 1 species